rnacentral:rRNA from 1 species
AGCGUACACGGUGGAUGCCCUGGCAGUCAGAGGCGAUGAAGGACGUGCUAAUCUGCGAAAAGCGUCGGUAAGGUGAUAUGAACCGUUAUAACCGGCGAUGUCCGAAUGGGGAAACCCAGUGCAAUUCGUUGCACUAUCGUUAACUGAAUACAUAGGUUAACGAGGCGAACCGGGGGAACUGAAACAUCUAAGUACCCCGAGGAAAAGAAAUCAACCGAGAUUCCCCCAGUAGCGGCGAGCGAACGGGGAGCAGCCCAGAGUCUGAAUCAGCUUGUGUGUUAGUGGAACGGUCUGGAAAGUCCGACGGUACAGGGUGAUAGUCCCGUACACCAAAAUGCACAGGUUGUGAACUCGAAGAGUAGGGCGGGACACGUGGUAUCCUGUCUGAAUAUGGGGGGACCAUCCUCCAAGGCUAAAUACUCCUGACUGACCGAUAGUGAACCAGUACCGUGAGGGAAAGGCGAAAAGAACCCCGGCGAGGGGAGUGAAAAAGAACCUGAAACCGUGUACGUACAAGCAGUGGGAGCACCUUCGGGUGUGACUGCGUACCUUUUGUAUAAUGGGUCAGCGACUUAUAUUCUGUAGCAAGGUUAACCGUAUAGGGGAGCCGCAGGGAAACCGAGUCUUAACUGGGCGUUAAGUUGCAGGGUAUAGACCCGAAACCCGGUGAUCUAGCCAUGGGCAGGUUGAAGGUUGGGUAACACUAACUGGAGGACCGAACCGACUAAUGUUGAAAAAUUAGCGGAUGACUUGUGGCUGGGGGUGAAAGGCCAAUCAAACCGGGAGAUAGCUGGUUCUCCCCGAAAGCUAUUUAGGUAGCGCCUCGUGAACUCAUCUUCGGGGGUAGAGCACUGUUUCGGCUAGGGGGUCAUCCCGACUUACCAACCCGAUGCAAACUACGAAUACCGAAGAAUGUUAUCACGGGAGACACACGGCGGGUGCUAACGUCCGUCGUGAAGAGGGAAACAACCCAGACCGCCAGCUAAGGUCCCAAAGUCAUGGUUAAGUGGGAAACGAUGUGGGAAGGCACAGACAGCCAGGAUGUUGGCUUAGAAGCAGCCAUCAUUUAAAGAAAGCGUAAUAGCUCACUGGUCGAGUCGGCCUGCGCGGAAGAUGUAACGGGGCUAAACCAUGCACCGAAGCUGCGGCAGCGACACUAUGUGUUGUUGGGUAGGGGAGCGUUCUGUAAGCCUGCGAAGGUGGCCUGUGAGGGUUGCUGGAGGUAUCAGAAGUGCGAAUGCUGACAUAAGUAACGAUAAAGCGGGUGAAAAGCCCGCUCGCCGGAAGACCAAGGGUUCCUGUCCAACGUUAAUCGGGGCAGGGUGAGUCGACCCCUAAGGCGAGGCCGAAAGGCGUAGUCGAUGGGAAACAGGUUAAUAUUCCUGUACUUGGUGUUACUGCGAAGGGGGGACGGAGAAGGCUAUGUUAGCCGGGCGACGGUUGUCCCGGUUUAAGCAUGUAGGCGGAGGUUCCAGGUAAAUCCGGUACCUUUUAACGCUGAGGUGUGAUGACGAGGCACUACGGUGCUGAAGUAACAAAUGCCCUGCUUCCAGGAAAAGCCUCUAAGCAUCAGGUAACAUCAAAUCGUACCCCAAACCGACACAGGUGGUCAGGUAGAGAAUACCAAGGCGCUUGAGAGAACUCGGGUGAAGGAACUAGGCAAAAUGGUGCCGUAACUUCGGGAGAAGGCACGCUGGUGUGUAGGUGAAGUCCCUGCGGAUGGAGCUGAGACCAGUCGAAGAUACCAGCUGGCUGCAACUGUUUAUUAAAAACACAGCACUGUGCAAACACGAAAGUGGACGUAUACGGUGUGACGCCUGCCCGGUGCCGGAAGGUUAAUUGAUGGGGUUAUCCGUAAGGAGAAGCUCUUGAUCGAAGCCCCGGUAAACGGCGGCCGUAACUAUAACGGUCCUAAGGUAGCGAAAUUCCUUGUCGGGUAAGUUCCGACCUGCACGAAUGGCGUAAUGAUGGCCAGGCUGUCUCCACCCGAGACUCAGUGAAAUUGAACUCGCUGUGAAGAUGCAGUGUACCCGCGGCAAGACGGAAAGACCCCGUGAACCUUUACUAUAGCUUGACACUGAACAUUGAGCCUUGAUGUGUAGGAUAGGUGGGAGGCUUUGAAGCGUGGACGCCAGUCUGCGUGGAGCCAACCUUGAAAUACCACCCUUUAAUGUUUGAUGUUCUAACGUUGGCCCCUGACCGGGGUUGCGGACAGUGUCUGGUGGGUAGUUUGACUGGGGCGGUCUCCUCCCAAAGAGUAACGGAGGAGCACGAAGGUUAGCUAAUCCUGGUCGGACAUCAGGAGGUUAGUGCAAUGGCAUAAGCUAGCUUGACUGCGAGCGUGACGGCGCGAGCAGGUGCGAAAGCAGGUCAUAGUGAUCCGGUGGUUCUGAAUGGAAGGGCCAUCGCUCAACGGAUAAAAGGUACUCCGGGGAUAACAGGCUGAUACCGCCCAAGAGUUCAUAUCGACGGCGGUGUUUGGCACCUCGAUGUCGGCUCAUCACAUCCUGGGGCUGAAGUAGGUCCCAAGGGUAUGGCUGUUCGCCAUUUAAAGUGGUACGCGAGCUGGGUUUAGAACGUCGUGAGACAGUUCGGUCCCUAUCUGCCGUGGGCGCUGGAGAAUUGAGGGGGGCUGCUCCUAGUACGAGAGGACCGGAGUGGACGCAUCACUGGUGUUCGGGUUGUCAUGCCAAUGGCACUGCCCGGUAGCUAAAUGCGGAAGAGAUAAGUGCUGAAAGCAUCUAAGCACGAAACUUGCCCCGAGAUGAGUUCU